GAUGAACGCUGGCGGCGUGCCUAAUACAUGCAAGUCGAGCGAACAGAUGAGGAGCUUGCUCCUCUGACGUUAGCGGCGGACGGUUUAGUAACACGUGGAUAACCUCCCUAUAAAACUUGGAUAACUUCGGUAAACCGGAGCUAAUACCGGAUAAUAUAUUCAACCGCAUGGUUCAAUAUUGAAAGACGGUUUUGCUGGCACUUAGACAUGCAUCCGCGCCGCAUAUGCUAGUUGGUAAGGUAACGGCUUACCAAGGCAACGAUGCGUAGCCGACCUGAGAGGGUGAUCGGCCACACUGGAACUGAGACACGGUCCAGACUCCUACGGGAGGAAGCAGUAGGGAAUCUUCCGCAAUGGGGGAAAGCCUGACCGAGCAAAGCCGCGUGAAGGAUGAAGGUCUUAGGAUCGUAAAACUCUGUUAUUAGGAAGGAACAAAUGUGUAAGUAACUAUGAACGUCUUGACGGUACCUGAUCAGAAAGCCACGGCUAACUACGUG
rnacentral:rRNA from 1 species